UACAGAGGUCCCAAGCGUUGUUCGGAUUCAUUGGGCGUAAAGGGUGCGUAGGCGGCGCGGUAAGUCGGGUGUGAAAUCUCGGGGCUUAACUCCGAAACUGCAUUCGAUACUGCCGUGCUUGAGGACUGGAGAGGAGACUGGAAUUCAUGGUGUAGCAGUGAAAUGCGUAGAGAUCAUGAGGAAGACCAGUGGCGAAGGCGGGUCUCUGGACAGUUCCUGACACUGAGACACGAAGGCCAGGGGAGCAAACAGG
rnacentral:rRNA from 1 species